rnacentral:rRNA from 1 species
UGGGGAAUUUUGGACAAUGGGCGCAAGCCUGAUCCAGCCAUGCCGCGUGCGGGAAGAAGGCCUUCGGGUUGUAAACCGCUUUUGUCAGGGAAGAAACGCGCUGAGCUAAUACCUCGGCGUAAUGACGGUACCUGAAGAAUAAGCACCGGCUAACUACGUGCCAGCAGCCGCGGUAAUACGUAGGGUGCAAGCGUUAAUCGGAAUUACUGGGCGUAAAGCGUGCGCAGGCGGCUUUGCAAGACAGAUGUGAAAUCCCCGGGCUUAACCUGGGAACUGCAUUUGUGACUGCAUGGCUGGAGUGCGGCAGAGGGGGAUGGAAUUCCGCGUGUAGCAGUGAAAUGCGUAGAUAUGCGGAGGAACACCGAUGGCGAAGGCAAUCCCCUGGGCCUGCACUGACGCUCAUGCACGAAAGCGUGGGGAGCAAACAG